GACAGAGGGUGCAAACGUUGUUCGGAAUUACUGGGCGUAAAGCGCAUGUAGGCGGCUCGGAAAGUCGGAUGUGAAAGCCCAGGGCUCAACCCUGGAAGUGCACUCGAAACUCCCGAGCUGGAGUCCCGGAGAGGAAGGCGGAAUUCUCGGUGUAGAGGUGAAAUUCGUAGAUAUCGAGAGGAACACCUGUGGCGAAGGCGGCCUUCUGGACGGUGACUGACGCUGAGAUGCGAAAGCGUGGGGAGCGAACAGG
rnacentral:rRNA from 1 species